rnacentral:rRNA from 1 species
GACGAACGCUGGCGGCGUGCUUAACACAUGCAAGUCGAACGAAGUGGCGAACGGGUGAGUAACGCGUAAUCAACCUGCCCUUCAGAGGGGGACAACAGUUGGAAACGACUGCUAAUACCGCUUACGGAAGGAGGGGAUUGCGUCUGAGUAGCUAGUUGGAGGGGUAACGGCCAACAAAGGCGAUGAUCAGUAGCCGGUCUGGGAGGAUGAACGUCCACAUUGGGACUGAGACACGGCCCAGGCUCCUACGGGAGGCAGCAGGGGGGAAUCUUCCGCAAUGGACGAAAGUCUGACCGAGCAACGCCGCGUGAGUGAAGAAGGUUUUCGGAUCUUAAAACUCUGUUGUUAGAGAAGCGGUAUCUAACCAGAAAGCCACGGCUAACUACGUGCCAGCAGCCGCGGUAAUUC